rnacentral:lncRNA from 1 species
CAACAUUUUUGUUGUUAUGGUAGCCAAAGUGAUAGCUCAUAUUGAUCAUUUGAGUUCAUUCCUAUGAGCUUCGAUGGAUAAAAGAAUUGUCUGGUGAGUUUUGAAGAGACAAAGCUGAAAAAUGGACAUCUAGGAAAAUUUCACAACUCCUACCAAAACUCUACUCCCAGCUUUUAUAUUCAGGACUGUGAAGAUUACUUUAAUACCUGCCCUAUAAAGUUUGGUCCAAUGGCUCUUUCUGGUAGCUGCUCAUUUAAGGAAGGAAGAUAUAAUCAUUCAACUCAAGCCAAAGCCUAGCUUCCUGAGCCUGCCUUCAUCUCUCCUCUGGCUUGCCAAUUGACAUUUUACAAGGUCUGCUUUACUGCCCCAUAAAACAACAAUGGAAUGCUUAAAUUAAAGUAACAGACAACCUUUUG